UACGGAGGGUGCAAGCGUUAAUCGGAAUUACUGGGCGUAAAGCGUGCGUAGGCGGUGAGUUAAGUCAGAUGUGAAAGCCCCGGGCUUAACCUGGGAACGGCAUUUGAUACUGGCUGACUAGAGUUUGAUAGAGGAGAGGGGAAUUUCAGGUGUAGCGGUGAAAUGCGUAGAGAUCUGAAGGAACACCAGUGGCGAAGGCGCCUCUCUGGAUUAAAACUGACGCUGAGGUACGAAAGCGUGGGUAGCAAACAGG
rnacentral:rRNA from 1 species